AUCCUGGCUCAGAACGAACGCUGGCGGCAGGCCUAACACAUGCAAGUCGAGCGAGAUCUUCGGAUCUAGCGGCGGACGGGUGAGUAACGCGUGGGAAUAUGCCCUUCUCUACGGAAUAGCCUCGGGAAACUGGGGAGUAAUACCGUAUACGCCCUUAGGGGGGAAAGAUUUAUCGGAGAAGGAUUAGCCCGCGUUGGAUUAGGUAGUUGGUGGGGUAAUGGCCUACCAAGCCUACGAUCCAUAGCUGGUUUGAGAGGAUGAUCAGCCACACUGGGACUGAGACACGGCCCAGACUCCUACGGGAGGCAGCAGUGGGGAAUCUUAGACAAUGGGGGCAACCCUGAUCUAGCCAUGCCGCGUGAGUGAUGAAGGCCUUAGGGUUGUAAAGCUCUUCAGCUGGGAAGAUAAUG
rnacentral:rRNA from 1 species